rnacentral:lncRNA from 1 species
AAUACUUAGCUCAAUAAUUAAAUAACAGUCGACAUAAGCUGCAGACAUGUUCAUGGAUAUUAGCUAUCGUUAAACUCAUAUGUUCAAAAACAAACAUAAAAGAAACCAAGUCUACUCAAUAUUUUGCACUUCUGGACCACAAUUGAAGGUUUAACCUAAUAAAAUUGCUUGGAAGCCAAUGAGAAUUUAUACAAACAAACAAGUCACCUCCAUCAUUAGAGUUAUUUCUCGAUAAAGUAUUAAAGCUUGCCCCUGAUCCUGUUGCAGGC